ACGGGAGUGGUGUAAUUGGUAGCACUAGAGUCUCCAAAACUCUCUGUGGAAGUUCAAAUCUUUCCUCCCGUG
rnacentral:tRNA from 1 species